rnacentral:lncRNA from 1 species
GCCAGUCAAUAAUUUUCGGUGCAGUGCGUAGUCUCCGUUACAGGUAGGUACGCUACAUACAACUAGAUAGUACAGUAUUGCACUUGCGCAGUCCUUGUAUGAGCAGCAAUCGAUGGGUCCUUUCGUCGGCUGCCCCUGGAGCGACCGGUCGUGUCCACUGCUGCUGCUUCUGCUGCCUUGAUAGCCUGAAAGAAGCUAGGAGAGGGAACGCCUUCUCGAUGUCCUUGAUGUCGGCGGGUAUGGAGGCAUCAGUUUGCACCGAACCAGUGAAGGCUCGCCCGGAAGGUGCGGUGAAGAACAUCAACCCACAGACUGGAAAGCUACUCAAAGAUCCCUGGUCCAGCCUCUGCUACCGUCGCCACGUUUUCACCGCUCAGAAGAAUGACUGACGAAGGCUUAUUAUUUCUGUUAUUUUUUCACCAAAGACCCUACGAAACUGCUUUCCCUAUGACCCAGGCAAUCAUAUAACGGACUAUCCCAAUCGAUUGGCUUUUGUUUUUGGCCGAUUUAUAUCGGUAGUGUCGUUUUUAUUUCAAACGCAUUUUGUCGGUGGCUGGGUGUCGUCCAUAUGACAGUAAAGGAUCCAUUCAUUUAGAUUUAUUUAACUUCUGUGAUGAAAUAUCUGCCUACAGAUCCACCACCUCCUUUGUAAGAGGUACCUAUCAAUUUAACUAGAUAGAAUACUUUCGAAAGUGGGUUCAUAUUAGUUAAAUAUCUAAACGAAUGGACUGUUUAUGGGCCAAACAGUUGCUGUGAUAACGUGCACCUUUCUAAUGUCUAUGUUCCUGUCCAGUUUGUAUAAUUUUAAUUAUUUCAUGAUUACGAAAUCAGUUUGAUCUUAUUAUGCGUUUUAUAUUAAUUUGGUUAAGUUUGUAUAAAGAAUGGGUUGUGUAUAUUACUUUAAAAAUCUACUCUUAAUUUAGUAUUAUAAGUUAUUCAAUGCGAUUUUUUAGUCAUCAGAUAACUUUAAUAUCAAUAAUAAGUUACCCAGUUUGGCAGAUUUUUUAAAUAAAAUAUGUCAACUUAUUUUGCAGAUUAAAGUUAUCUAGGUAUCUAAAAAUCCGCAAACAGUUAUUUUGAAUGUAAGUUUGGUUUUAGGAAUAUAAUUUGUAGCCUGACUGAAGUUUACAAGAUGUAGAAUUUUUCCUGACGGAGAAAUUUUCUCUCUGGCAGGAAAAGUCUAAAUCUUUGAAUUUCCAUUCACUUCGGUGGAUGGUUACAAAUCUGCGCCACAAGCAUGGAUUGAAGUACAAUUUUAACUACACUAAGAUAUCUUCUUAAAAUACUCGUAAAUGUUAUUGGCAACUGUUCUAUCACUCUGGAUAUUAUCUGAAUGUAUUCUCUUUACGUGUGGCAUAUUGAGUAGGUUAUAACCUCAGUGUACUAAGCUAAGAUUUCCUAACUUAUCGUAGGUACUUGUAACUAUAAAUGUGUAUUUUGGAUUGUGAUUACAGAGACUGAAAUGUAUUUAAAAACGCGUGAUGGUAAUUUUUAUAAGGUUAAUGCCCCGAUUAAGAUUGGAUGGAAUAUUGUAGUAGUAAAAACUUAUGCCCCGCUUAUGUCUACUGUAUUAGAUUAGUAAUAUCUUCUGAUUUAAGUAAACGUCUUUCUUUUAUU